rnacentral:rRNA from 1 species
GCUUACGGCCACACCGCUGGUCAUACGCUUGAUCUCGGAAGAUAAGGUAGGUUGGGCCUGGUUAGUACUUGGAUGGGAGACCGCCUGGGAAUACCAGGUGCUGUAAGCU